rnacentral:piRNA from 1 species
UAAGAUGGUAUAUUUGAUACU